UUACAUCUUGAGACAGUAAUACUUUUAAAUACUGUACUCAUUUCUUUCAGUGGUCUGCAAAUUUUUUUUUUUGCAAGUCAGUAAGUUGGGAUUGAAGUUACAGGUCAAGCUGUAAAGUUCUCAACUAUCACAUUUAAAAUCUGAUUCAUUUUUUUUUAAUGCUCAAGAUUUCCACUUAACCCAGCAAGAGUCUUACAGAGAGAUUCUAACUUUACAAGCAAGUUUUUCUUUUCAAGGACAGCCAGCAGGGAGCAGCAGAUUAUAGUCCCUGCAGAAAUAGCUGCAUCCCUUGCUAAAAAACCUGAAAAGGUCACUAGUAACAUCUGUUUAUUUCUUGUCUUAGUUACUUGGUUUGAUUCCAAUUCUGGGCAUCAAAGAGAAUUUAUUACAAGGGGAAAAAAAAUGUCCUGUUUUAUCUUUAAAAGGAAAAAAAAACCAAAUUAAUCACUGCAACAAAUAUUAGAAGUUUACUUUGUGCAGCAGAGCUUGCUACUUAUUUAUAAAUCUGAGACUGGGACUAUUCUACAACAAGACAGGCAAAUCACAUGACAGUUAUUGCCUUAAAAUAGUGAAGUAGUCAAAAAAGGAAAGCUUAUUUCUAGCUGGUCACUCAUCUCUAGAGAAAGAGAUGUUUUUUCCACCCACAACUGUAGUGGAAGUUCUUUUAGCCUUUUCUGAUACACAAAAAGGCUUCAAAAAUUCAACUUUGCAUUGGUAAUUUAAUGUCUGUCCAACCUGCCUCUCAAGGCAGGUAUAUACAUACUAUUAGCAACUUGUAGCCAAGUCUCAGACUCGAGACAGUGAAACAUGAAGGAAAUGCAGCCCAGCUUCUUCCACACCUCUUGGCAUCCUCCUGCAAUGCUGUCCAGGCUCCCAAGCCCUACCUGAGACCUACACCUCUGGCUCCUCCAAGCAGAGCCCAAUGCAGACACCAACACAGUUACACUGAGCCCCUGUGCUUGCCUAGGGCAGAGCCACCAGCUCACCAGCACAGCCUCAACAGCUGGGGCUCCUCACCUCAGCUCUCCUCCACAACCUCCAGGCAGAAGCGACUGCAGGUUUCAGCUGCCGCUUAACUGCAAGUGAGCACAACUACCAACACAGCCUUCUAGUUUCAAGAGUAACAACAUUAAGCACAACUCCUCAUCUAUCAAGGUACUGCCAUGAGCUAAGUUCUGGGAACAGGAACUGGCGUUUUACUAACACAUAAGCUGAAGAAUGGCACAAGACACUAGAUUACGCCUUUUUUAUUUCAAAAGCUAGGAUAGCUUCAAUAUCCAUGUCAUGGUGAAUCAGAACACAUGUAAAAUACCUUACAAUACAUUAGAUUCCAAAAAGGUACCAAAAAGUACAGUAAAAUUAACACUUCCAUUACAGGAAAUGUAUGACACAAAAACAAUACAAAAUAAAAAGGUGGAAAGUGACACUGGUUCCCUAAGAUGCAUCUCAUUCUGUACAACUGGAGUAAUGCAGAGUCCAUAGUUAACUCCAAGAGGCAGUCCCUAGAUGCAGAGCUGCAGCUUUAAGCAGACCCUCAAAAUCAGUUUCAGUUUAACCUAUUAAUAAAAUCAUUAAUUAAUAUCUUCAGCAAUGCUGAAAUUUACACACCACACUGUCUAGACAACUAGUUAUCUGUAAGUAUUAAACAUGUAAAACAUUUCCAGGGAGCUCUUCCAAGUAAGAUGCACAUUUAACAGGCCAUAGAAAUUUAUUGUAAAGUUAAAUUUGGUACAGAACUGAAGUAUCCAUCUACAGCAUUGUAUACAAAACCUAUGCAGUCAUUUUCCAAAAGAGACCAUGCCACUGCAUACCUGAAUAAGUUUGAUCAAUAUGGCUUGUAGUUAUUCUGAUGACCACCACGUCUUGGUGUCUUCCCAUAAUUUGCACUGCCUUGACCUAUGAACAAGAGAACAAAUGCAUUAAACUGCUAAUUAGUUACGUUUGCUUAUACCCAAUACAGUUCUCUUUACUUACUGUAAUCAUAGCCUGGUCCAUAUCCAUAAUACCCAUAUCCUGAAUAAUCAUAGCCUCCAUAGCCACCAUAACCUUGCUGAUAGCCGUAUCCUUGAUUCCCAUAACCCUGGUUCCAGUAAUUGCCAUAACCUUGAUUCCAAUUUUGACUUUGAGCUAUAGAAGGGAAAACCAUCCACAAAAUCCCAUUUUAGUACACACAACUUAUUUAGAAUGUGUCCAUACUAAAGUAGUGUGUGUGGUACUUACCGCCGCCUCUUCCACCUCUGCCUCUUCCUCCAUAGCUACCUCUUCCUCCGCCACUGCUGAACUGUUGCUGCUGGUACACUUCUUUUGGCUGUGCUACCUUAAUCUCGCACUGAAAAUAAAAAAGGAAGAGUAUGUAAGGUGUCUUAGAGCAGCAGCACCCACCCUGAGCUCCUGGGAAAUCCAGAGGUUCCUCUGGAGGCAAAGGAGGUGGACACGCUGUGCUCCUGCCAGUCUCCCCAUGGAAGAGGUGCUGAUGCCACCACUCCUGUAGGCUGCCAGGAAGACUCUGAGCCUUGUUCAUUCAGUGCAGCUCAGGUGAAGUCUGAUAGCAACAGCCUUGUCUUGGAGGUUGUGCCAGGUUCCCAGGCUGCAGCUCAAGCUGUCAGUCAGCUGCCUGGUUCCUGAAUCUGUGCACAGUCCAAGAUGAAAGCUACUGCUGCUGCAAAAGGAACAACAGCACCUGAGCAAGUCUGGCCUGGAGUUCUUCACCACAGGACCUUUAAGGUAACCUGUUUUUUAUUAACACUA